CAACAUUUAAAAUUUCAACAUGGUUUAUAUCCUAUAAAAGUUACAUUUAAAAUGUGGAGAGCCAGGUCGCCUGUUAUCAUUUUGUACUUAUAGUGGCUUCCGAAAACACCUCAGCAAGGUACAUAGUCACACUAUGGAUCAGGAGAUUGAUACUAAUCAGGAUCUUUCCACUCAGGGAGAAUAUGAGGCGGAAUGUUCAAAUGAUCGCCCAAGUUUACAAAGUUGGAGUUUACAAAGACAUUAAUGAUGGGUCGUGUUUCCAAAACCAUGCACUGUUCCCUCCCUAUGGAGUUCGUCUAGUUUGGGCAGAAAUUAUAAGGCUUGUAAUGUUCCUUUGGUGAAGGCUUAACUUUCAAAACUCACUUCUGCGUUGGCCGGUAAUUGAACCCAGGGUCUCCCGUGUGGCAGGCAAGAAUUCUACCACUGAACCACCAAUGCUUAGUUUAAAUAACUAAAGACAGAGUAAGCUGUUCAGGUAAGUAUUGUGCUGCUUCAGCAAUUUGGUUUCAGAUUUGAAAAGGAGAAUCCUAAGUCUCUUCCUUAUUUCAGCAGCAGUCACACACUAUAUUUCCAGAUACUGUAUAAUAUUAUAAUAUCUCCUCUCUGCUCAACACGCAUGUAAUACAGUCUACAUACCGUAGAGAAGUGUUUUUCAACCACUGUGCCGUGGCACACUAGUGUGUCGCGAGAGAUCGUCAGGCGUGCCGUGAGAAAUUGUCCAAUUUCACUUAGUCUUAAAAUUCUUAUUUAUUAAUUAUUAUCUGCAAAUAAUAAGCCAUGGUUGAGUGUCUGUGCUGUAAUAUAGUGACUGGCAGAGUAAUAUAAUAUUCGUCUAGGUGGCAGUAGGUAAUUGCCUCCUACCUUCUUAGAGACAAGAGAAUUAGUGACGCAUGCGACAGGUGGUGGUGGCACUGAUGGAGAAGUUUUUAAAAAGGAAAAAUGCAAACUCCGAACUGGGCCCUGGACAAGACUGUGACCCAGGUGAAGGGCCUAGUAUGAGUGGUGGUAAAAAGAAAGCAAAGAUGGUGAGCUCGAGGCAAUACAGCGAAAGCUAUCUUUCGUUAAUAUUUACUUUCACCAGCGAUGAGAUGACCCCGACUCCAUUAUGCUUGGUGUGUGGCGAGAAGCUGUCCAAUAGCGCCAUGGUGCCAAGCAAGCUUAAACGCUAUCUCCAAGUGAAACACCCGUCGCUUCAAAACAAGCCGAUGGACUAUUUUGUUUGCCUGCGUGAAAACACCGAAACAGGCAACAUUAAUGAGAAAAACCACAAAGGUAAAUUAGAAAGCCCUCAAAGCUAGUUGCUGAACUUGUAGCUAAAUGAAAAAAGUCCCACACUGUGGCAGAGACGUUAAUACUACCUGCCCGCAAAGACACUGUCAACGAGAUGCUCGGCCCUGACGCGGUUAAAGACAUAUCUAAACUCCCGCUCUCAGAUAACACAAUCGCCAGACGUACUGAUGACAUGUCUACAGACAUCGAAAGCCAUGUUUUGGAAAAGAUAUGCAUCAGUAGUAAAUUUGUGUUGCAACUUGAUGAGUCUACGGAUAUUCUCAGCUCUUGGCCAAUGUGCGUUUUGUGGAUGGAGAUGCCAUUAGAGAAAACUUCCUAUUUUGUAAGGCACUGCCAGAAAAAACAACAGGAGAGGAAAUUUUUUGGGUCAAAUUGGAAUAUCUUGACCAGGGAGGACUUACGUGGGAAAAUUGCACAAGUGUUUGCACUGAUGGAGCUGCAGCCAUGGUCGGGCACACCUAAGCAGAGUGAAGGAAAGAAACACAGAUCUUAUUGUUACACACUGUUUUCUGCACCGUGAGGCCUUAGUUGCAAAGACUAUACCAGCAGAACUAGUUCCUGUGGUGGAUGAUGUUGUGCGCAUAGGGAACUUUGUAAAGACACGACCAUUGAAAAGGUAUAUUUGCAUCUUUGCGUGAGGAAAUGUGAGCGGAGCAUAAAGCCUUAUUGCUCCAUACGGAGGUCCGAUGGUUGUAGCGUGACAAGUUGCUGGCCCGUGUGUAUGAGCUGCGGGAGGAACUUAAAGUGUUUCUGACAAAUGAGAGGUCUGAUUACUCAAAUCUGUUUGCAAGUGAUGAGUGGUGUGCAAAGCUGGCAUACCUGGCAGAUAUAUUUCAUCAUCUGAAUGAACCGAACACACGAUUGCAAGGCCGAAAUGAGAACCUGCUUACAACCAUGGAUAAAAUAAAUGGAUUCCAUUUAAAGGUGCACCUCUGGCAACAACAUGUGCAAAGUGCCAACCUUGAGAUGUUCCCACUCACAGAGGAACGGCAAGAUCACCCUGCUGCACUGUGCGAGGUAAUAGGUAAACAUCUGAAAACUCUUGAGGAGAAGUUGUCAUUUUAUUUCUCUUCAGCCUCCACUGAAUGCCUUGACUGCUGUUGGAAAGGACAUGACUUUACAGGAGCAGGAGGAACUAACUGAACUGAAACAAGAUCGUGGUUUAAAGCUAAGAUUUGCUGAACUUCCUUUGGACAGUUUUUGGUUGACUGCUACCAAGGAAUUCCCCAUUGCGGCCAACAAAGUUUUGACAUUGCUCCCAUUUUCCACAACAUAUGUGUGUGAGCUGAGCUUUUCAAGCCUAACUGCUAUAAAAACUAAAAACAGAGAGAGACUGAAAGCUGUUGAAGAGCUUCGUGUAUGCCUUUCUUCAAUUCCUGCCAGGAUAUCGGCUUUGUGUUCAUCUAAACAGGCCAGGUUUCACACUGAUUUUGGAGCAACAACAACAGCAACAACAGCAACAACAACAACAACAAAAAAGUGUUGGAACAAAAUAAAUCUUAUUUUCCAUUCCAGGUUGCAGGUAUUCGCGGGUGCAAUGCAACACUGUUCCACACACAAAUAACUCUUUUGAAUGGUUAAAUGACUAAAAUCAGAAAGCGCCACCAGCAUAUCUGACAAAGAUGACUCAUGAACCAAUUCUUUAAUCACUAGCUGAAAACGACGUAUUGAAUUUACAAAAACGUCAAAUAACAAAUACAACAUUCUACUUUCUCAUGAAUAUGGUAUAGUGCAUUGCUUAAUCAGCAGUUUUUCUUAGAAAGACAACAUAUUUAAAUUGAAUUAAUUUAAUGAAACCACACAUCAAGCUGUCUUUUCUAACAGAACAUUAAAUUUAGCAUUAGCUCCCAGUUCCAGAAAGUUCUAGCCAGACAUUCAGGGGGAAAGAAUCAGAACAAAAUGUAAAAUAAAAAAAGUAGUGAAAGAUGAAAGUGAAGGAAUAAACGAGAGGUUUGUGUCUUAGUUGUUGAGUAAUUAAAAACUAAAAAAAAAGCUGUGAGAUUCAGCGUUUGUCACAACGAUGCCAAACGCUCUGCGUCUCCCGACUAUUUCUUUGGGAUUGUUCCCAAACUGAGAAAUCAAGGUUCUUCAGUCAUGCUUCCCCCACAAUCAAGCUUUGGAGUUGACUCCAUAUUCACAACGACUAUAGAGUCGACUCCAAAGCUUGAUUCCUUUGAAUCGACUCUAUUCCCAUUACCUGGUAUCUACGAAUUGACACCAGGUAUUAGGAAUCGCCCUGUUAAUCAUGAUAAUGAUCCUAUGUACUUAACACUGUGGGUUGUUCCCCUAACCUUUAAUUCGAGAUUUGUGCUGAAUCGAUUCUUGGAACAGACUCACUUAGUGUUGCAAUCGAUUUCAGAAUAUUAGCAAGGGUUUGAAUCGUUAUCAUUUCCCUUGCUUCCAUUUGUAGGAAGCUGCCUUAAUCACGAUGAACCCAGGGUACGCAGGCAGGACCGAGCUCCGGGACAACCUGGAGGCCGCUUCAGAUCCGUCUCCAUGAUUGUGCCCGACCACGCCGUCAUCGCAGAGGUGUGCUCGGGUGCCGUCAUUCAUUACAUUAUGUAAUGAACGCAAUAACGGAUGUAUUCUGGCGUGUUACAGAACCGUUUCACGUUGUCUUUUUUGCUGUAGGUGGACUUGUGAGCUGAGGGCUUCAAGUCCAGUGAGACUCUGGCGAAGAGGUCUCUGAUGCGAGAGAACCCACACCUGAGUGAGAACAUGGUGUUGAUUAGAGUGCUACGAUACUCCAACCUGCCCAAGUUACUCAAGGAUGACGCAGAACUUAAAAUAAAAUAAAUUGAUAAAUAGUAAAGAACGCCAAAGCUUACAUAUGGAGUAUCAAAGGUCAUUAUCACAGGAUCACUGGAAUCAGGCACUAGGAGGAAAUUCCAGGACAAAUUAGGAAAUACAAUUAACUGACAUUUGCAAAUUCUUUGCAACUAAAAAGCUGUAAUUAUAUAACUUUUUUUUUAAAGCAUUUAAAGUAUAUAACAUUAGCACCUUGUAAUGUUAUACCAGAUGAAAGUAAAGAAUCCUGGAACAUCUGAACAUCCAUAAUCUGAAAAUCUUGAACCUAGUGUCAAUCGAGUCAAUCCAAUCCUUCUUGUGUGCGUUUAGCGGUAUUCCGUCGGACCUCUUUCCUGGUGUGGGUGUCCCCGAGCAUGACUACGGCGCGCUUCAGUCGAACAUCGAGGCAGCUCUAUGCGCCCGCUCCCUGCAGCCCGUCUCCAGCAUGACCGCCAAGGUGAUCCAGCUGUACGAGACCAUGCUGGUGCACCAGGGCGUCUUGCUGGUGGGCCCUACAAGAGGCGGUAAGACCACAGCGUACCGUACCCUCGCUGACGCACUGCGCACCCUCCACGAGACAGAGGGCUGCGAGGUGAAUCUCUUAUACAAGCCCAUCGAGACCGACGUGCUCAACCCGCAGUCAGUGAGCAUGGACGAGCUGUAUGGUGAAGACGACCCUCUCACACUGGAGUGGAGUGCCAUCAAACCGUCCCUCGGCAAUGACAUCGCUGACACGCACAAGUGGGUGGUGAGUGAUGUACCUGUGGACGUGCCUGUGGAUUGAGAAAAUUACCCCCGUGUUGGACAUCAACAAGACGCUCUGUCUGGCUAACGGUGAAAGGAUCAAGCUCACACCUUCUACACACAUGUUAUUCGAGGUGUUACCCAUCAGACACAGGUAGCAUCGAUCCUAAAAACCAUCACAAACAAGCACAAGCAUGUCAUUUCCAAGAAGAUUUUUUUUUUUUUUUUACGUUAAACGCGUUCCUGAUGGAAAGGUCACACACAAACGUAUCUUUAAGACUUCACUCUUUCACACGCCUAUAAUGAGCGAUAAACGCAUUCGAAGCAUGUUAUAAAGCCUCCGUAAUGCAUUACGCAUAGUAUUUAAAUAAAUGUUAUUAUAAUAACAUGCACUACACUACAUUAUGAAUUCUUAACGUAUUGUUAACAUGUCUUUACUGUGAGCGGGAUGAUGACCAGACGCAGGCAGGCUCCCGGGUACUCAUAUCCGUAGAUGUACUGAUACAGAGCCAUUCUGGCCACGCACUUAUCCAGAUCCACGUCCCAGUAUUAGCACAGCUGCUUCUGCCACUCAAAGUUACUGCUCGAGUCCACCUACGUGAACACAUACACAAAGACAUGUGAUAUAUACACAAUCUCAUUGUAUACGAAUUGGGCAUUCUCCCUGAGGAUAUAGCGUGGAUAGUUUAUAAUGAGUGCGUUCAUACUGUAUAAACCUGGGAACUGAUCUGCAUAUGCACUGCUGUUAGAGCUGCAGUUAUUUUUAAAAGAUUUAUUAACAGCUUCUGACCAAUCAGAUCUGACGACACCCAUGAUUCCCUUCGCUCUGAAGAGAAGGUUGUAGCCGUCUGUACCCUUUCAUUGACGAGCUCCGUGAUGAUGUCUCUGGCGUGGACAUCCACAGUAAUGAGAGCUGUGAUGAUGCUCUGAUGUAUUUUGGGUAAGUUACCCAAGAGUAGCCAACACAUUCAGCCUCUGUAUAAACACACACACACACACACACAGACAGAGUAAUACCCGUACAUUACCACAUAUUACACCAUUCACCAUUAUGUCAUGUAAUCAGAGAAGGAAAUCUGAACUACAGUUCCCAGCAGCCACUGCAUCACAGUCACAUGACCACCUGCACCUGGAUCACAUUCCUGGUAAGCACUUGUGUAUUUAGCCAGUUUUCACUGCACUCUUUGUCUCACGUUUGUCUUUCUUUACCUUUGUCCCUGGUGCUGUGUUUUUCUCUUUGGUUUAUGUUUAGUCUUUGCCACAGUGAUUUGCCCCAAUGUCAGUGUCUUUUGUAUUUUGUUUAGUUCUUUAUUAAACUUGAAAAAUCUGCACUUG